CAGUAGCCACGGGAACACGAAGGGGGCUAGCGUUGCUCGGAAUGACUGGGCGUAAAGGGCGCGUAGGCUGUCUGUACAAUCGGGUGUGAAAUUCCUGGGCUUAACCUGGGGGCUGCACCCGAUACGUGCAGGCUUGAGUGCGGAAGAGGGUCGUGGAAUUCCCAGUGUAGAGGUGAAAUUCGUAGAGAUCGGGAGGAACAUCAGUGGCGAAGGCGGCCAUCUGGGACAACACUGACGCUGAGGCACGAAAGCGUGGGUAGCAAACAGGAUUAGAUACCCCAGUAGUCCCUGUCUCUUAUAC
rnacentral:rRNA from 1 species